rnacentral:rRNA from 1 species
AUGCCGACGGUGCGGCGGCGGAACCCGGACGUGCACGUGAAGGCGCUGGAGGGCAUCGUGUCGGCCAACACGUUCCUCACGGUGGCCGUCUUCAUCGGCAUCACGGGGACCAUCACGGCCUCCUCCACCGUGCCGACCAACUGCGUCGCCGGGGACGACAUCGCCCGCAACUUCUUCCUCUUCGAGAUCCUCUCCUUCGGCUUCUACCUGCUGUCCAGCCUGGUGGCGCAGGGCAUGAAGCUGUCCGUCACGCUGCUGGCCGCCGGCGACGACUUCUACGGCGACGGCGAGCAGAAGCCGGUCAUGACCGACGACUGCGAGGAGAUGCCGGCGUGGCGCGCGGCGGCUCCCCGGGAGCGGCGCCGCGCCGUGCUGCGGUACGCGCGGCCCAUGAUGCUGCUGGCCGCCGCGUGCUCCAUCAUGGGCACCUUCUUCCUGCUGCUCUCCAUGAUCGACGCCAUCCAGCUCAAGUUCGGGAUCCUGUCCUGCAACAUCCCGCUCGCCGUCGGCGCCACCUUCGCGCUCUCCGUGCUCGCCGUCUCCGGCCUGCUCUUCUACGGGUACACCGUCGGAUACGCGCUCUACAACUACCUGCCGUGA